GUGACCCAUGGGACUUGGACUUGACUGCAGUCUGCUGAGGACCAGCAGCACAACAGGAGACUGAUUCUCCAAUUACUGAAGAAUCUGUCCUCGAGAUUUUUGCAACACACAGUGUCACUGUGAAGAACCAAGAACACUGCAAGCAUCAGGGUCCCUUCCAAGGCAAAGCCAAGGCCCAAAGUCACAUCAAGAACAGUAUGGAGGAGACAGAGGAAGAAAACAUGGUGUUGGAGAAAGCCAGGACUGCAUUAAAGCCAAAAUCUUGGUUUGGCAUCCUGAGAUGGGACCAGCUCUGUAGUCACACCUACAAGCUGUGGACUCUCCUGCUGUCACAGAGCCUUCAGAACUGAUGAAGGUGGUGGAUUUUUCAACUCCAGCCUUGGCUUAGCCUGGCAGGGAACCAGACUGUGGAGAUGCUCUGUCAGGAUACACAUGAGAAACAUGAGUUGAAGACACCAAAAAGGAGAAAAAAUGCACCAAGAUCCCUAUCUCUAGUACCACUUACAGACCAAUACUGCUUCUGAACCCAAGCCAUGAGUGAAGCUGGUAUGGGAGAAGCAGCACUGUUAGAGGAAGGAAUUCUAGCAAUAUCACCUUCCGGUAAGACCUGUGGUAUCCAUCUAGCUGGAGCUCCCAUCUGUCAGCUGUUACUUUCUUUUGUUUUUAACACAUACCACAUUUUGUAAAGUUUUAUCAAAUUAAUCUUCCACCAAAAAAAGCAUUUAUCAUCACAGCUUGGCUGGGUUUUGUUCAUUUUUCAGAGGUUCUGAGAGGAGAUGGAGAGCAGCACAAGGUUGUGCAAUCCUUGAGGCAAAUUUAAAUAAUUCUGCCCUCCUUCUUGCUAAGCUGUCCCCUGAAUGACUGUGUCAGGUAUAAUGGUGUAAUAGUUGUUUUUUUUCCACCACAUGACUUCUUACAUCACACCUCACAUGUGGUUACAGAGGUCACUUUUGGAAGAUUCUCUGGCUCCUGACAUGGAUUCAGUAUUCUGAGUUAGGACACUUGAUGCUACAGUACACAAACCAUCAUGUUUGAAACAGCCAUUUGCUGUAAAUAUGUGGUGUUACUGAGACAGGAUUAUAAUCCUUUCAGGCCCUCAGUGAGCACUCAGCCUUCUGGAACCAAAAGCUGAAGUAAUAUUGGCAGAGGUCAUGCUUCAAGUACACUAAUUAUGUCUUGAGAAUGAAGAUGUGAAUGAGAAUGACCUGCCAUGAAAUCCCCAGCUACCUUACUAAUUAAGGUAGCAAAGUAUUUAAGUCUUUAUUGUUUAGAACUUGUUUGCUUAAUUAUUAAUUAGAAAAUUCAGGCUUUUUGUCUAAGAUACUCCCAGGUGACAAAGCAUGGUUCUGGCUGUCCUCAGCAGCAGUAAGGCCAGC